GCGCCGCGAGUGUGAUGGCUUGCACGGCCGGUGACCAACCGGCAGGACGAGGUUCGAUUCCUGCGGCGGCGCUCCA
rnacentral:tRNA from 1 species